GCCUGGGUGGCUCAGUCGGUUGAGUGUCUGACUUCAGUUCAGGUCGUGAUCUCACGGUUCAUGGGUUCGAGCCCUGCGUCAGGCU
rnacentral:tRNA from 1 species